rnacentral:rRNA from 1 species
UACGGAGGGUGCGAGCGUUGUCCGGAAUCAUUGGGCGUAAAGGGCGAGUAGGUGGCUUGGUAGGUCUGUGGUGAAAGCGCGGGGCUCAACCCCGCGUCGGCCGUGGAUACUGCUAGGCUUGAGCACUGUAGAGGCAGGCGGAAUUCCGGGUGUAGCGGUGGAAUGCGUAGAGAUCCGGAAGAACACCAGGGGCGAAGGCGGCCUGCUGGGCAGUUGCUGACACUGAAUCGCGACAGCGUGGGGAGCAAACAGG